AGUGAACGCUGGCGGUAGGCCUAACACAUGCAAGUCGAACGGCAGCACAGUAAGAGCUUGCUCUUACGGGUGGCGAGUGGCGGACGGGUGAGGAAUACAUCGGAAUCUACUUUUUCGUGGGGGAUAACGUAGGGAAACUUACGCUAAUACCGCAUACGACCUACGGGUGAAAGCAGGGGAUCUUCGGACCUUGCGCGAUUGAAUGAGCCGAUGUCGGAUUAGCUAGUUGGCGGGGUAAAGGCCCACCAAGGCGACGAUCCGUAGCUGGUCUGAGAGGAUGAUCAGCCACACUGGAACUGAGACACGGUCCAGACUCCUACGGGAGGAAGCAGUGGGGAAUAUUGGACAAUGGGGGCAAGCCUGAUCCAGCAAUACCGCGUGGGUGAAGAAGGCGUUCGGGUUGUAAAGCCCUUUUGUUGGGAAAGAAAAGAAGCAGGUUAAUACCCCGCUGUUCUGACGGUACCCAAAGAAUAAGCACCGGCUAACUUCGUG
rnacentral:rRNA from 1 species